GCUGCUUGCGUGACUGAGUUUGCGUGCGUGUGAGCUCAAUCACGCACGCAAACUCAGUCACGCAAGCAGCAC